CAACGAGGUAACCGCCACCCCUCCUCCCGUCCCGUCCCGGGCGGACAGUCCUGCCUACAAGUAGUUGGCCAACAGCGGGUACACCGAGCAGAACCACCACGUCCCCGUCGCCUGGAUCCCUUGAAGCCGAUCACACGGUAGGUCUUCCGGGGUACUUCUCUCUAGUUUGCGGCUCUGUGUUGUAGUUGUGUGUUGCGGUUGUGUGUUGUGGUUCAGUGUGACGCUUGUGUUGUACUUGAUGCCGUGCUGGCGUGUUUUCGGAGACGGACGGCCGAACUCAGAGCGACCGCGGGUCUUAAAACGUCUUGGAUCGCUUUGUGAGGACGAGUCGUGUCCCUACAUCGCUGUGUGUAUCCCCACUCAACCCGCGCGUGCGUGCGUGUGUGUGUGUGUGUGUGUGUGUGUGUUGUGUGUGUGUUCUCCUGUGGGACGGCCCCCCGCUGUGCCGUGCGGUACUGGUCCUGCUCCACCAGUAGGGCAGCGCGGUGGGGACCCAGUCGCACUGGCUCCUGACAUGUGUACGGGGGGAGGUGGGUCUCUGGAAGUUGGUCCAAACUCCUCAGGUCGCUGAACCCCCCCUCCCACCUGAGAGACGAUAUGGUGGUUUCUGGUGAUCAUCUCAUUGGACUUCUUAUUUUACCCCGUGCGAAUAUCUUUUUUUAUUAUGUUGUUAUGAAAUUCGAAAAAAUACACGACAAAGUAUUGGUCGUCAUUAGAAAUGUUUUCAGAUGUUUUCUCCAACUUUUAGAUGAAUACAAAAUAACCAGCGAAGCUUUGAGUGCGCCAGGUUCAGAGACAGUUCACCGCGCACAGACGCCUCACCAAGGUCCAGCAGUCCAAACCUCUCCUCUCAGCUGUGUGGCUCAUUAUGUUUUACCGGGAAAUCGGAUCCUCCAGAAAACUGUGUUCAGAGGGAAGAGGACCAGAGGUCAGAGGCUAAAGCACCCACCACAGAGGGACCUUUGAUGCUCCACGGUCAUGACUCUGGCCUCGCACAACGCACGCCCUCCUCCUCCGUCCCUCUGAAGUGGUAUUCAUCCACGCUGAAUAAUGCCUUGUCCCUCACUCUCUCUCUGUCUCUCUGUCGGUCUGUCUCUCUCUCUCUCUGUGUCUCGCUCUCUCUCGCUCUCUCUCUCUCUUCUCUCUCUCAUUUCUUUUACACGAUCAAUCCAAGUUUUGUCAAUUCUAAACUGUAAGGACAUUAUUUGCGAGGACACAAGUAAUUCUUUAUGUGUGUUUCGUACAUAAAAAAAAAAAAAGGCCCACAUGCUUAUUUUUGUCCCUUCUCAGUUUCUGGGAACUGGUGUGUUUCUGCACCCUGAGUCCUGGGGUCUCUGACCCGUCGAAGGAGUUAGGAGUCAGCCUGCUUCCCCUCUCCAACACCCAGUGGUGGAGAGGGGAGGAGAGACCUCCUUCACUAGUGGCUUUCCUCUGGUUUGGCAUACGUCUCAGUGGAAAUCGCAGAACUCCUCCACUGGCUGAGCGGUGGUUUGAGAUGCUGCUGUGAUAUCUCUGGUGUCUGCGUGUUCACGGUUUAUAUUGGCCCUGUGUGGAAUAUGCAUGACGAGGCUUUCUGGUUAGGUUGAAACUCUGAAUGCCUUUCCUCCCGGACCGGUUUUAUCUGGUAAAGUAGACGUGUCUUAUCUUAAUAAGAUAUCAUGUCUAAUGUUGUCUAAUUCUUCUUCUUAAAAUGUCAGGAUCUCUUCCACUAUCAUUCUUUGUCCUUCUUCAGUGUUCUCUGAUUGGAUAUUUCAUAUGAAACAAAGUAACAAAGUUACUAGUUGAUAGUUUGAAUCUGGGGUAACGGCAACACCACACUGGAACGAACGGCGUCGCACCCAGAUGGACUGUCUGAACGGGUAACCGGAGACACUCGUUCCCAUGGAAACUAAGCAGCAGGGAGGGAGAUGUUUUAUCGAUUCGUUGUCUGGACGUACAAAUGACAUUCAUGACUGGUCUGGACUAUCUACCACCCACAAAACCGCCUGGAUUAGUUGGAUAUCCGCUGUGCUGAGGACAGAACCAGACAGCCUCAGCCUCCUCCUCUUCACCCCCCUGGGUGCUCCAGGAUUAACCGUGAUGCUCGAGCUCGGUGUUGCCAGAUCAGGCCAGAUUCGCUGCAGCCGGGGUUGCCAGAUUGGGUGGAAAAUCCGUCCCAAUCUGGCAACACUGCUGCCGGUAGAAGGAUAAUAACGAUUCAAAGGGGAACCUGAGGGGUUCUGAAGCCGCCCCCCCCCGGAGCAGCAGUAAACCCCCCCCACCCCGGACUAGGGAUGUUGAACCCCCUCUGUGGAACCAGUCUGGCUCACUGCCCAUGGUGAGCUGCUCCGUGCCCCCCCCUCCCCGCCCCGCCCCAGUGGAGGUAGGGGGCUGGGGGUCAGGGUGUCCUCAUCCUCCCCCUGGAGUCUCCUCGCCAGACUACCAGAUGUCUGGUCCCAGGCCGGGCUAAUCUGCCUCCAGGCACCAAGCUCCUUAUAGACCUUUAACUACAGUCACAUGACGGAGGGCACAUGACCGGGGUCACCUGACGGGCGGUCACAUGACCGGAGUCACCUUCUGCUCCUCAGUCACUCAAUCUGACUGGACCGGCCGUCUGAGUGUCUCUCCCCCUCAUACCUGUGUUCCUCCUCACCCCUGACCCCUGACCCCUCCUCUGAGGAGCUGGAUUAGGGUUCAGAGUGUACCCGUGCGGUGUGUCUCCGCAGUAACGCGGUUGGCGUGGUCAGGGGGCGUGGUCAGAGGCCUCUCUGUGCUAAGCUGUGUCUUGUCUGCGGCAUUGUUUCCUGGAGCCGCCGCGGGCCGGAACAAUCCCCGGUAUGCGGCCGUACAAUGGCUCUCUCUCCGGGCCCUCAGAACAGGUUCAGCAGGACACUCUCAGUUCAGCAGAACACUCUCUCAGUUCAGCAUGGCACUCUCAGUUCAGCAGGACACUCUCAGUUCAGCAGGACACUCUCAGUUCAGCAGGACACUCUCAGUUCAGCAGGACACUCUCAGUUCAGCAGGACACUCUCAGUUCCACUCUUGCUGGGGCAGAGCUCUGAUUGGUGAGGCUCGAAGGCCCAUUGUCUGAUUGGUCAGGUUGUCGGUCAGGUGAGCAGCACCGCUCUGAACAGGAGCCUCCAGGUGAUGACAGGCAGCCAAUAGUUGGAGAGCAAUGGGGAGGAGGGCAGGAAGAGGGAUCUCUAAUGGGUCUCACUCCGCCGCAAAAUCGGAGCCGUUCCGGGCUAGUUCGGAGCAAGAGCCAGUGUUUUGGUUUCACAUCGCUAGAGAACCGGCUCCGGCCUGUAAAAGCCGGUUAAACUCCAACCCCAGGAUUGAGCUGGGCUAGAACGAGAACUGCCUUUACGCCAGGGGCAGGGGGCGGGGGCAGGGUUAUCCUUACCUUCAUAAACAGGAAGUCCAACGAAGACCGGCAUUUUUAAAAACACCGAAGUGAACAAUGGACGUGAACGCGUGUAUGGUUCGUUCUUUGAAUAUUCCGAUUUAAAACAAAAUCAGAAAAAAACUUAACAGUCGUCUUUUGGUUUUUCUGAUUUGGUUUUGAAACUGAAAAAGGGCAAAAGGAAUAAAAAUCUGUGUUUGUUUUUUAGAUUUUUUUUAAAUCGGAAUAUUCAAAGAACGAACCAUACACGGAUUGACGUGAAGACGAAAUUAUUGUUGUUGUGUUUGAAACUGG
ensembl:lncRNA